GAUGACAAUGUUCAUUCAUUAAUAAAACCUUUAGAAUUGGAACUACAAAAAAUAGUGCAUACAUACCGUGGAAAAAUUUACUAAAUAUUUAUCAAACAAUUAGCAAAAACAUAAGAGAUCGCUAUGUCAGAUCACCAAAGGAAAGGUGAUUCUUGUUGCCUGCUACAUCAAAUGGAUGAAAAGAACAAAGCAUUGGAGGAUAAGUAUGAAGGAACUGUCUUGGGUGAAGCAUUAAGGCAGGAAUUAUUCAUCUACAGAAUUUUUUUUUUUCCUGAAGAGGUUAAAUGAGCAGUAUUUUCAGGUAAUGAAGAAUAAGUUAAAAUCUUGGGCUUCAACAAAGAAAAAUUUUUGGCCUCUGAUGUUGUGUAAUGUUACUUACUAUCAUUCCAGUAUUGAUGAAAAUAUUAUUGAAUGGUUUUAGCCUGCAAACUUCUGUUGACUCAUACUCUCAAGAGUGGUGGGGCUGUGAAAAUGAAGAAAAUGUACCUCAAACACAGUGCAAACACUCAGAUGAGUCAGCUCUCUUCAGGAUGCGCAUUUAUUUCUCCCUUUGGAGGAGGCCUCAGUCCAGCUCAGCCAAGGACUGAAAG
rnacentral:lncRNA from 10 species